rnacentral:rRNA from 1 species
UACGGGGGGGGCAAGCGUUGUUCGGAAUUACUGGGCGUAAAGGGCUCGUAGGCGGCCAACUAAGUCAGACGUGAAAUCCCUCGGCUUAACCGGGGAACUGCAUCUGAUACUGGAUGGCUUGAGUUCGGGAGAGGGAUGCGGAAUUCCAGGUGUAGCGGUGAAAUGCGUAGAUAUCUGGAGGAACACCGGUGGCGAAAGCGGCAUCCUGGACCGACACUGACGCUGAGGAGCGAAAGCCAGGGGAGCAAACGGG